rnacentral:lncRNA from 1 species
CAACAAUCAAGAAUCAACAAUUAAGAAAAUGCCCCCACAGACAUGGUCAGUCUGAUGCAGGCAUUUUCUCAACUGAGGUUCCCUCCUCCCACAUAAAUGUCAUCUGUGUUAAGGUGACAAGAACUAACCAGCAGACGGAAGGUAAUGGAAAGGGCUGCGUUGAAAGACUCCACAUCCUGAAGCUUUCCAGUAUUCCCUGAAUCUCAGAGAAGACUUCCUACCAAUGAGGAUGCUGGUCUAAGGGCUCAGCUGCAGAGCGAGAGGCUCUGACUGACUUGCCACUUUCCAGGGCGCAGCUGUGGCUUCUGAUGGCAGUAGGCUUAGAACAUUGUUGAUACACUUUCUUAAACGAUAACAUUUUGUUAAGUUUGUGAGGUAUAGUUAUGACAAAACUUUACCCUUAGUGGUAGUAGGCAUGGAAACAAGAAGUAGCUCUCCAUCCGGAAAACAGAAAUAGAACCCUUAGUUCCAGCAGAGGCAGGAUGCUUCAUUUAAAGCUUCACUUAGGAGGUGAGCAAGGGCGCUCCGG